rnacentral:rRNA from 1 species
AGGAAUGAGAAGUCUUAACAAGGUUUCCGUAGGUGAACCUAAGGAAGGAUCAUUG